rnacentral:lncRNA from 1 species
UAAAAAUAACUUGACCCGGAGUCCAACUCGAUAAAGGCCCUAUAUAUAUUUCUAAAGACCCCUCAACAAUGGUGCGGUGAACGUGGACGAAUUACUUGGGUCUUCAGAUUGGGUUUGAGCUUGGGCUUGAGUUGUGGUAGAGGAGUUAUUCGGUGGCUGAGAUAGAACCUGUGGCUGAGGCUAUGUCGAGGUUUGUUCGCCCAUGUCAAAUCGAUUAAAAUCUGAGAUGUAAUUUAGAAAUCUUUAGAGAAUGAAAGCGGCGUUGGUGUUGACGGCGGGGUUAAGGGGAGGAGUAGUGGAAAGAAAAUAGAUGAGCUAAUGGAGUUCAGUUGUCGAACAAGUAUUUUCUCGCUAGAAGGUUUUGGCCUAUCAACAUUUACUGCAGUCCACAAUCGGAUAUUAUUAAAGGAAAAAGGUAGAGGUCCAUAUUCCUUUUUCAUCUGAUAUUAUAAUUGUGUUAUUACUGCUUUCACCCUAUGUGCUAAAAUGCAAGGUCAAACACUAAUAUUGUGUUGAUUUUACAAUGAUGCAUUAUUGGGGUUUAGUUAGUCAACCAACACAUCCCCCACUUGUUUUUCUUCUAUCUAUACUAAUAUUUUUAAACGGAAACUUAUAUUCUAAUUACAUUAUUUCUACACUUUUGAUAAAAUUUAUAGUAACUUAUCAAAGUGAUUCCAAUCCUCUUCAUUUAAAAACUGCAAAUGCUUAGGCUGAGGUGCAGAUAAUUGAUUAGAUACUUAUAAUUUUAUAUGUAAUGGUAGGACAAUUCAUGAAUAUUAUAGUCAAUAGCACCCUUACUGGUCUGAAUUUACAAAAUCAUCCUUCUUCUGCUGAUAUUGCUCUUUUUCAAUUAUAUUUUCUCAAUACUGAUAAUUUUUAUGUAUGGUUUUGAUUUUGUUCAAAUGAGUUGCUGUAUGGAACAGUUUCUGAUGACUUGACUAUGUUAAUCGCUGAAUUCUUCUCAGUGUGCCCUAUUAGCCAGCAGAAUAUGUGCUAAGAUUUUCCCUGAAUUGGCGCUUUUUUCAUAGUUUCUAAUGGUUUGUAUUUGUUGCAUGCAUCGCAUGCAUGUGCCAUGUACAUAUUGUAAUAUCCCGUUUUUUAGUGGUAUUGGAAAUAGUGGUUUCGAGACAAUAAUUUCGACAAGUGAGUCAGUAAAUAAUAUUUAUUUAAUAUCUACAAGUCUAUUAUAGUGUCGUAUUAAAAUUUGGUUAGAAAAUAUUAAUGUUUAGCUGGUUAAUUAAGUAAAAAGGAUUAAAUCGUAAAAUUACAAAGAUUACUUACUAUUAGAUUAAAUGUAUUAAAUGGCUUUAGAAAAUUGAUUUGAUGGCCCUAAUCAGUAAUUAGACCAUAUUAGGUUAUAGUGGACGGUUUUGACUUGUUUAUUAAAGAAAUUUUAUUAAUUUCAUAAGGGUAAAAUGGAAAAUAAGUUAAUAAUAUGAAAAACAAAUAGGAAAAAAAAUCAUCAUCUUCCUUAAUAUUUUAUUCCAUCGAAAAUAGAAAGGAAACACCAUUGAAAAGCUUUGAAGCUUCGGCCAUUGAUACUCUCUUGCAUGUAAGGCUGUUUUGAGCCGUUUUUCGUAAAUUUUAUGUUUUUGAGUUCGUUGCAGUUUAAUUUAAUUAACCCAAGGGUUAAUUCAUAAAAAUGUUAAACAUUUUGAAAUGUUUCAUUGUUGAUUUUGUGAAGUUUUUGAAAUUUGUUGAUAGUUUUGUAAGUUUGAUAUCUAAGUAGGAUUUUUUAGUAAAGUAAUUUUUAGUGAUUUUGAUAGUUAAGGAUUAAAUUGUUAAAAUAGUAAAAUUUCAUGAAAAUUAUUGUGAAAUUUUGAAAUUUAUGGGUUGUUAAAGAACUAUAGGAAAUUCGGCUAGCAUAGUUUAAGCUUAAAUGUGUUCAAUUUGAAAGUUUCAGGUUUUAGGACUAAAUUACAUAAAAGGCAAAGUUUAGGGGUAAUUUUGUAAAAUAAGAAAAAAGUUUAAAUGUAUAAUUUUGAUUGUUUUUGUGGUUUGAAGAGAUUAAUUAAAGAAAAAUAUAUUGAAGAGAUUAAUAAAAGUAAAAUAUACUUUAAAUCAAGAAUCUUAACGACCAGAAGACGUACGAGGAAAAUGAAAAAUUGUUGAUUAGUCUUUGAUAGUUGAAUCACUUAGACAGAUAAGUUCAUACUAUCUUCUAUGGUUAUAAUUUGUUAUUAAAUGUUAUUAAUUAUUUGUAUAUGAACUGUUGAGAUGGAAAUCAGACUAUGUGGUAAUAAAUCAAAUUUUAAGACAAUUCCUUUAGACCAAGUAAAAGUCUCAUACACAAGGUUUCUGAAUGAUUCCCAUUCUGGACCGAGCUCCAGCAUUUGUUGUGGACUCGGAUAUACAUGUCACAUAGGUUUAGUUUGGACUGGCAAUCUAUUUUCAUUUUAAAUGUUUAGCCUGGACUGAUAACCUUUCAUGUAUAUAUAUCUCUAGUCAGGCUAUUUUUCAGUGUUGUCAAUGGUUUAACCCGGAUUGGUAACCUAACAAAUGUAUUUUGUACCUGACUAGCUUGAACAAGCAUUAAAUGUUCUUCGCACUCAUGUAAUAAGUUCUUUUACAAAGUUCCAUCAAAAAAACAAAGGAUAUAUAGUGUGUUAUUAAUAUGGACAAAAUAUGAAUUCUGACUAUCCUUAUGAUAGUUAUUUGUUGAUCUGGAAUUAUUGAACUUUGUCAUGAUAGGGAUAUUAGUUUGAAUAGAAAUUUACAAUUAACUAUUAAAUGAAUAAAGUAAGUUAUUGAAUUGAAUUGUAUGAACUUAUUAAGUAUUUUCAUACUUCAAUUAUUAUGUUCUAUAGAUUUUGGAUACUUUGAACGUGCCGAUCGAAUCAACAAGAGUUCACACCUACCAUCUUUUGACUCGGUCGAUUUUGAAGUUUGAAAUUGUGGUUACUUGUGGCAUGUAUAUAGAAUGUUUAUUUUGCAAAUGUUGAACCUGUUUUGGUCAUUUAGUUGUAAGUGCACUUGUAUGCAAAUUUGAUGUAUGUAUUAGAUAUUUGGCAUUUUGGUAAUGUGUUGUUAAAAGUCAUGUUUGAAUGGUAUUUUGAAUGAUUAUGUGCUAACAAGUUUUGGUGUGAAUAUUGUUAGUUUAUGAUGCUAGAAUGGAUGAAUUGAAUGAUUUGGAUGCUUGAUAAAAUUUGAUUUAUAUGUGGUUUCAAUGAGGGUACAUUGGUUAGUGACCUAGGUUGGAUGAUUUUGUACAUUUUAGGCAUGUUUUAAUGUGUUUUGAAUAGGUAAAAAUGAUUGGAAAUUGUUUGGCUUGAAAUUUAAGAAAUGGUAGAUGAAAGAGGUUGGAUUUGAAGUUAUUUCAGGUGCAUACGGCCUGGGACACGAGCUGUCACACAGCCGUCUGUCACACACGAUCACCCAUACGGCCAUGUGGUUGUUUGAUUUUAGGUGCAAGAUAUUUCACACGAUCAUAGGCUGUUACAAGGCCUGGCUACACAAUCGUGUGACCUUAUAUUUGAAUUGUAUAUGGUCUGAGAACACGGGCAUAUGGGGUAGUCACACGGCC